AGAAAGCAGAGUCCUUUCUUCUUCACWGACCUGGUUUGACAUAACAAUGGUGGUAUGGAUGUAUCACCUCGAUCARARAAUCGAUUUCAUGUAUCAAUACAUAUAGCUCCCUCCUCCCUGUUGAUUUAAUUUCACAAGUUCUUCAAAACCCUAGAAUUUGGAGGUACCCAACUUCAAAGGAUGGCUUUUCACUAAGCCUCUGCACCUCGAUAUGUAAAUGUAUCUCGCUGGUACAUCAUAUCAGUCUCUUUUUGAGGAUUAUGUUUUGGUAUAAUUUGUCCUUCUAGAUAGCCUCCUUGAUGGUGUCGUGUUCUCUAUCUCCUGAAUAAUCUUGAGACUAUCAACAACAUGAGAUACACAACCAGAACCUAUUGAUUGUGAGUACUACAGAAAAGGACUUGGAUCUCGC